rnacentral:lncRNA from 1 species
AGGAUGUUGGGAUCUUUUUCUUUGACUCAGCCCAUGAGGGAAGCGUGUGCUUGCCUAACACUGAGAUACAGGAUGUUUAAAUCUCAGAUUUUGUUUUGGGCCUACUGGAAGCCUUUGAUUUGAUUGUGGUAAAUAUUUCCAAGUUUUUGAAACAGUAAGUUUACUGAAUUACAGCAGACUGCAUGCCAUAGUUCUUACAGUCUAAUGGUAGACAUUACAAUAGAUGCUUUGGAUGAAAUAAGGUGACUCCUUUCCUACUGGGGGAAUAGAAAGCAGAAUGACUAGCCUAUGCAAGGGUGCUUAGCCAAAUAACUGACUGGUGACUUUCAUCUGUCUUUGUAGCCUGAGUAUGACAGUCUCCCAUCCUUGUAAGAGUCUGAAGGCUAUUWUUCUAAGCAUAACCAGGUGCUGGUGACUUUCCUGGCCUAUGUGGGGCUUCAGAGGAGAAGACAUUUCAGAGCCAGAAAAAAAAGGAGGAGAAUCCAGCUGCAUCGGUUUGUGCAUCGGUUUGGACAGAGAGGUAGAGAAACACAUUUUUGCAUUUUAUAUAUUGUGCCAUAUGUUCAUGCAUGUACCUCUUUUCAGGAUACUUGCAUAAAUCUGGUUUUCCU